GAGGGGAGUGCAGGAUCCUGGGCUGUGUCCCCCGGCGCCCUGGGAUCUGGGGCCUGCGCUGCUGGAAUCCCGCUCCUGGGGCUGCGCAGCCCCCU
rnacentral:pre_miRNA from 1 species